UUACAGCCAUAUCACAUUGAAACACCAGUUCUUGUGUGAUCACUAGUUAAGCAAUGUUGAGCCUGGUCAGUACCUAGAUAGGUGACCACUUGGAAAUACCAGAUGGUGG